AACGAACGCUGGCGGCAGGCUUAACACAUGCAAGUCGAGCGCCCCGCAAGGGGAGCGGCAGACGGGUGAGUAACACGUGGGAACGUACCCUUUUCUACGGAAUAACCCAGGGAAACUUGGACUAAUACCGUAUACGCCCUUCGGGGGAAAGAUUUAUCGGAGAAGGAUCGGCCCGCGUUGGAUUAGCUAGUUGGUGGGGUAAAGGCCUACCAAGGCGACGAUCCAUAGCUGGUCUGAGAGGAUGAUCAGCCACACUGGGACUGAGACACGGCCCAGACUCCUACGGGAGGCAGCAGUGGGGAAUAUUGGACAAUGGGCGCAAGCCUGAUCCAGCCAUGCCGCGUGAGUGAUGAAGGCCCUAGGGUUGUAAAGCUCUUUCACCGGUGAAGAUAAUGACGGUAACCGGAGAAGAAGCCCCGGCUGACUUCGUGCCAGCCGCCGCGGUAAAAC
rnacentral:rRNA from 1 species